UAUAAAUGAAGAUAGCCUAAAACUGCCACGUCCUGUGGCAACGGCUAUCUGACCUACAUCCUGUCGG
rnacentral:sRNA from 1 species